GACGAGGUGGCUGCUUCUCGUGACUGGGCAGUGACUCAACAAAGCACCAGUGGUCCCAGCCCUACCUCUUACAGCCCUUCCCUCUACCGUGCCCUGGAUCUUCUGGGUCACUUCUCAUCACGCUCCAAAGCUCUGCUCAGACCUUCCCUCAUCCAGAGACUGCUGCAUGGUCCCUGCAUCAAAAUGGUGAGCUGUGGGACGGGACCACAGGGCCCCUUAUGCAGAGCUGGUAGGAAGUUGAAGGAGCGCCUGGCUACACACCCCUCUCAGGAUGCUGGUGUGUGGUAGAGGCUCAGAAAUGGGCCUCUCCUGUUUCUCUGCACCACCGGUACCACUGCUCCCCAUUCACAGCCCUUUCCACACAGGGACAGCCCAUGUGUUCCCUGCUCUCCCAAACACUGUGGGGCUGUGAGGACAGGGACUUUGUCUCCUGCCUCUGUCUCCCUGCGGCCCAGCACAGAGCCGCUCUCAUGGUGGACAUCAAUA
rnacentral:lncRNA from 1 species